GGGUUGUGAGGUUAAGCGACUAAGCGUACACGGUGGAUGCCCUGGCAGUCAGAGGCGAUGAAGGACGUGCUAAUCUGCGAAAAGCGUCGGUAAGGUGAUAUGAACCGUUAUAACCGGCGAUGUCCGAAUGGGGAAACCCAGUGCAAUUCGUUGCACUAUCGUUAACUGAAUACAUAGGUUAACGAGGCGAACCGGGGGAACUGAAACAUCUAAGUACCCCGAGGAAAAGAAAUCAACCGAGAUUCCCCCAGUAGCGGCGAGCGAACGGGGAGCAGCCCAGAGUCUGAAUCAGCUUGUGUGUUAGUGGAACGGUCUGGAAAGUCCGACGGUACAGGGUGAUAGUCCCGUACACCAAAAUGCACAGGUUGUGAACUCGAAGAGUAGGGCGGGACACGUGGUAUCCUGUCUGAAUAUGGGGGGACCAUCCUCCAAGGCUAAAUACUCCUGACUGACCGAUAGUGAACCAGUACCGUGAGGGAAAGGCGAAAAGAACCCCGGCGAGGGGAGUGAAAAAGAACCUGAAACCGUGUACGUACAAGCAGUGGGAGCACCUUCGGGUGUGACUGCGUACCUUUUGUAUAAUGGGUCAGCGACUUAUAUUCUGUAGCAAGGUUAACCGUAUAGGGGAGCCGCAGGGAAACCGAGUCUUAACUGGGCGUUAAGUUGCAGGGUAUAGACCCGAAACCCGGUGAUCUAGCCAUGGGCAGGUUGAAGGUUGGGUAACACUAACUGGAGGACCGAACCGACUAAUGUUGAAAAAUUAGCGGAUGACUUGUGGCUGGGGGUGAAAGGCCAAUCAAACCGGGAGAUAGCUGGUUCUCCCCGAAAGCUAUUUAGGUAGCGCCUCGUGAACUCAUCUUCGGGGGUAGAGCACUGUUUCGGCUAGGGGUCAUCCCGACUUACCAACCCGAUGCAAACUACGAAUACCGAAGAAUGUUAUCACGGGAGACACACGGCGGGUGCUAACGUCCGUCGUGAAGAGGGAAACAACCCAGACCGCCAGCUAAGGUCCCAAAGUCAUGGUUAAGUGGGAAACGAUGUGGGAAGGCACAGACAGCCGGGAUGUUGGCUUAGAAGCAGCCAUCAUUUAAAGAAAGCGUAAUAGCUCACUGGUCGAGUCGGCCUGCGCGGAAGAUGUAACGGGGCUAAACCAUGCACCGAAGCUGCGGCAGCGACACUAUGUGUUGUUGGGUAGGGGAGCGUUCUGUAAGCCUGCGAAGGUGACCUGUGAGGGUUGCUGGAGGUAUCAGAAGUGCGAAUGCUGACAUAAGUAACGAUAAAGCGGGUGAAAAGCCCGCUCGCCGGAAGACCAAGGGUUCCUGUCCAACGUUAAUCGGGGCAGGGUGAGUCGACCCCUAAGGCGAGGCCGAAAGGCGUAGUCGAUGGGAAACAGGUUAAUAUUCCUGUACUUGGUGUUACUGCGAAGGGGGGACGGAGAAGGCUAUGUUAGCCGGGCGACGGUUGUCCCGGUUUAAGCAUGUAGGCUGGUUGUCCAGGCAAAUCCGGAUAAUCAAGGCUGAGGUGUGAUGACGAGGCACUACGGUGCUGAAGUAACAAAUGCCCUGCUUCCAGGAAAAGCCUCUAAGCAUCAGGUAACAUUAAAUCGUACCCCAAACCGACACAGGUGGUCAGGUAGAGAAUACCAAGGCGCUUGAGAGAACUCGGGUGAAGGAACUAGGCAAAAUGGUGCCGUAACUUCGGGAGAAGGCACGCUGGUGUGUAGGUGAAGCCCCUGCGGGUGGAGCUGAGACCAGUCGAAGAUACCAGCUGGCUGCAACUGUUUAUUAAAAACACAGCACUGUGCAAACACGAAAGUGGACGUAUACGGUGUGACGCCUGCCCGGUGCCGGAAGGUUAAUUGAUGGGGUUAUCCGUAAGGAGAAGCUCUUGAUCGAAGCCCCGGUAAACGGCGGCCGUAACUAUAACGGUCCUAAGGUAGCGAAAUUCCUUGUCGGGUAAGUUCCGACCUGCACGAAUGGCGUAAUGAUGGCGAGGCUGUCUCCACCCGAGACUCAGUGAAAUUGAACUCGCUGUGAAGAUGCAGUGUACCCGCGGCAAGACGGAAAGACCCCGUGAACCUUUACUAUAGCUUGACACUGAACAUUGAGCCUUGAUGUGUAGGAUAGGUGGGAGGCUUUGAAGCGUGGACGCCAGUCUGCGUGGAGCCAACCUUGAAAUACCACCCUUUAAUGUUUGAUGUUCUAACGUUGGCCCCUUACCGGGGUUGCGGACAGUGUCUGGUGGGUAGUUUGACUGGGGCGGUCUCCUCCUAAAGCGUAACGGAGGAGCACGAAGGUUAGCUAAUCCUGGUCGGACAUCAGGAGGUUAGUGCAAUGGCAUAAGCUAGCUUGACUGCGAGCGUGACGGCGCGAGCAGGUGCGAAAGCAGGUCAUAGUGAUCCGGUGGUUCUGAAUGGAAGGGCCAUCGCUCAACGGAUAAAAGGUACUCCGGGGAUAACAGGCUGAUACCGCCCAAGAGUUCAUAUCGACGGCGGUGUUUGGCACCUCGAUGUCGGCUCAUCACAUCCUGGGGCUGAAGUAGGUCCCAAGGGUAUGGCUGUUCGCCAUUUAAAGUGGUACGCGAGCUGGGUUUAGAACGUCGUGAGACAGUUCGGUCCCUAUCUGCCGUGGGCGCUGGAGAAUUGAGGGGGGCUGCUCCUAGUACGAGAGGACCGGAGUGGACGCAUCACUGGUGUUCGGGUUGUCAUGCCAAUGGCACUGCCCGGUAGCUAAAUGCGGAAGAGAUAAGUGCUGAAAGCAUCUAAGCACGAAACUUGCCCCGAGAUGAGUUCUCCCUGAGACUUUAAGUCUCCUGAAGGAACGUUGAAGACGACGACGUUGAUAGGCCGGGUGUGUAAGCGCAGCGAUGCGUUGAGCUAACCGGUACUAAUGAACCGUGAGGCUUAACCUUACAACGCCGAAG
rnacentral:rRNA from 1 species